CGGAAUCAAGAUCAGUUCUCUCCAUUGGCGAAGCUGCUUUUGGCUCCAACAAACUAUUUCUUAAAUCACACACGUACCGACACAUGAUCCGGGGUGCUCACUUACUUAGAUAUAAGAAGUUGAGUCGGACGCAUGGGGUAUGUGGAGGCCUAACC
rnacentral:sRNA from 4 species